rnacentral:rRNA from 1 species
GACGAACGCUGGCGGCGUGCUUAACACAUGCAAGUCGAACGAUGAAGCCUAGCUUGCUAGGUGGAUUAGUGGCGAACGGGUGAGUAAUACGUGAGUAACCUACCUUUAACUCUGGGAUAAGCCUGGGAAACUGGGUCUAAUACCGGAUACGACCAAUCUCCGCAUGGGGUGUUGGUGGAAAGCGUUAUGUAGUGGUUAUAGAUGGGCUCACGGCCUAUCAGCUUGUUGGUGAGGUAACGGCUCACCAAGGCGACGACGGGUAGCCGGCCUGAGAGGGUGACCGGCCACACUGGGACUGAGACACGGCCCAGACUCCUACGGGAGGCAGCAGUGGGGAAUAUUGCACAAUGGGCGCAAGCCUGAUGCAGCGACGCCGCGUGAGGGAUGACGGCCUUCGGGUUGUAAACCUCUGUUAGCAGGGAAGAAGAGAAAUUGACGGUACCUGCAGAGAAAGCGCCGGCUAACUACGUGCCAGCAGCCGCGGUAAUACGUAGGGCGCGAGCGUUGUCCGGAAUUAUUGGGCGUAAAGAGCUUGUAGGCGGUUUGUCGCGUCUGCUGUGAAAGGCCGGGGCUUAACCCCGUGUAUUGCAGUGGGUACGGGCAGACUAGAGUGCAGUAGGGGAGACUGGAACUCCUGGUGUAGCGGUGGAAUGCGCAGAUAUCACGAAGAACACCGAUGGCGAAGGCAGGUCUCUGGGCUGUAACUGACGCUGAGAAGCGAAAGCAUGGGGAGCGAACAGG